GGGCUGAUGGUCUAGCGGUAUGAUUCUCGCUUUGGGUGCGAGAGGUCCCGGGUUCAAUCCCCGGUCAGCCCC